AUACUGCAGUCGAGCGCAGGAAGCCGUCUGAACCCUUCGGGGGGACGACGGUGGAAUGAGCGGCGGACGGGUGAGUAACACGUAAAGAACCUGCCCAUAGGUCUGGGAUAACCACGAGAAAUCGGGGCUAAUACCGGAUGUGUCAUCGGACCGCAUGGUCCGCUGAUGAAAGGCGCUCCGGCGUCGCCCAUGGAUGGCUUUGCGGUGCAUUAGCUAGUUGGUGGGGUAACGGCCCACCAAGGCGACGAUGCAUAGCCGACCUGAGAGGGUGAUCGGCCACACUGGGACUGAAACACGGCCCAGACUCCUACGGGAGGCAGCAGUAGGGAAUCUUCCACAAUGGACGAAAGUCUGAUGGAGCAACGCCGCGUGAACGAUGAAGGCUUUCGGGUCGUAAAGUUCUGUUGUAAGGGAAGAACAAGUGCCGCAGGCAAUGGCGGCACCUUGACGGUACCUUGCGAGAAAGCCACGGCUAACUACGUGCCAGCAGCCGCGGUAAUACGUAGGUGGCAAGCGUUGUCCGGAAUUAUUGGGCGUAAAGCGCGCGCAGGCGGCCUCUUAAGUCUGAUGUGAAAGCCCCCGGCUCAACCGGGGAGGGCCAUUGGAAACUGGGAGGCUUGAGUAUAGGAGAGAAGAGUGGAAUUUCACGUGUAGCGGUGAAAUGCGUAGAGAUGUGGAGGAACACCAGUGGCGAAGGCGACUCUUUGGCCUAUAACUGACGCUGAAGCGCGAAAGCGUGGGGAGCAAACAGGAUUAGAUACCCUGGUAGUCCACGCCGUAAACGAUGAGUGCUAGGUGUUGGAGGGUUUCCGCCCUUCAGUGCUGAAGCUAACGCAUUAAGCACUCCGCCUGGGGAGUACGGUCGCAAGGCUGAAACUCAAGGAAUUGACGGGGACCCGCACAAGCGGUGGGAGCAUGUGGGUUUAUUCGAAGCA
rnacentral:rRNA from 1 species